AAGUCGUAACAAGGUUUCCGUAGGUGAACCUGCGGAAGGAUCAUUAACAAUGUUUUGUGCAUAACACACACUGGAAAUGGAGGCUUAGAAGCCGCCGUUUCAUUUAACAAGAACCUGGGGUACUUUAAGGUAGAGGGUAAAACCUUUACUUUAGAGCCCUCUAAUAAUCCCCCCUCUUUAUUUUACCAUAUUUUACCCUUAAGACUAUAAGACUGAUAUGACAUGGUUUAAUGUCGAACAUUAAAUCUUAUGAAACAACUCUUAACAAUGGAUAUCUCGGUUCUG
rnacentral:misc_RNA from 1 species